rnacentral:rRNA from 1 species
AACGAACGCUGGCGGCAGGCCUAACACAUGCAAGUCGAGCGCGCCCUUCGGGGUGAGCGGCGGACGGGUGAGUAACGCGUGGGAACGUGCCCUUUUCUACGGAAUAGCCUCGGGAAACUGAGAGUAAUACCGUAUACGCCCUUUGGGGGAAAGAUUUAUCGGAAAAGGAUCGGCCCGCGUUGGAUUAGGUAGUUGGUGGGGUAAUGGCCUACCAAGCCGACGAUCCAUAGCUGGUUUGAGAAGAUGAUCAGCCACACUGGGACUGAGGCACGGCCCAGACUCCUACGGGAGGCAGCAGUGGGGAAUCUUAGACAAUGGGGGCAACCCUGAUCUAGCCAUGCCGCGUGAGUGAUGAAGGCCUUAGGGUUGUAAAGCUCUUUCAGCUGGGAAGAUAAUGACGGUACCAGCAGAAGAAGCCCCGGCUAACUCCGUG